AGCAGCCGCGGUAAUUCCAGCUCCAAUAGCGUAUAUUAAAGUUGUUGCAGUUAAAAAGCUCGUAGUUGAAUUUCGGGAUCAAUAUAUCGGUCGUACCAUCGGUACGUACUGGUAUCAUUGGUUUCUCCUUUCUGACGAACCAUGAUGUCAUUAAUUUGGUGUUAUGGGAAGUUAGGACUGUUACUUUGAAAAAUUAGAGUGUUUAAAGCAGGCUUUAGCUUGAAUACAUUAGCAUGGAAUAAUGAAAUAGGACGUUCGAACCUAUUUUGUUGGUUUCUAGGAUCAACGUAAUGAUUAAUAGGGAUAGUUGGGGCAUUAGUAUUCAAUUGUCAGAGGUGAAAUUCUUGGAUUUAUUGAAGACUAACUACUGCGAAAGCAUUUUGCCAAGGAUG
rnacentral:rRNA from 1 species